CAUGUGUAGCGGUGAAAUGAGUAGAUAUAUGGAGGANCACCAGUGGCGAAAGCGGCUCUCUGGUCUGUCACUGACGCUGAGGCUCGAAAGCGUGGGUAGCGAACAGGAUUAGAUACCCUGGUAGUNCACGCCGUAAACGAUGAGUGCUAGGUGUUAGGCCCUUUCCGGGGCUUAGUGCCGGAGCUAACGCAAUAAGCACUCCGCCUGGGGAGUACGACCGCAAGGUUGAAACUCAAAGGAAUUGACGGGGGCCCGCACAAGCGGUGGAGCAUGUGGUUUAAUUCGAAGCAACGCGAAGAACCUUACCAGGUCUUGACAUCCCGAUGCUAUUCUUAGAGAUAGGAAGUUACUUCGGUACAUCGGAGACAGGUGGUGCAUGGUUGUCGUCAGCUCGUGUCGUGAGAUGUUGGGUUAAGUCCCGCAACGAGCGCAACCCUUAUUGUUGGUUGCCAUCAUUAAGUUGGGCACUCUAGCGAGACUGCCGGUAAUAAACCGGAGGAAGGUGGGGAUGACGUCAAAUCAUCAUGCCCCUUAUGACCUGGGCUACACACGUGCUACAAUGGUCGGUACAACGAGUUGCGAGCCGGUGACGGCAAGCUAAUCUCUGAAAGCCGAUCUCAGUUCGGAUUGGAGGCUGCAACUCGCCUCCAUGAAGUCGGAAUCGCUAGUAAUCGCGGAUCAGCACGCCGCGGUGAAUACGUUCCCGGGCCUUGUACACACCGCCCGUCACACCACGAGAGUUUGUAACACCCGAAGUCGGUGAGGUAACCUU
rnacentral:rRNA from 1 species